GGAGGGCGCGAGCGUUACCCGGAUUUACUGGGCGUAAAGGGCGUGUAGGCGGCCUGGGGCGUCCCAUGUGAAAGGCCACGGCUCAACCGUGGAGGAGCGUGGGAUACGCUCAGGCUAGAGGGUGGGAGAGGGUGGUGGAAUUCCCGGAGUAGCGGUGAAAUGCGCAGAUACCGGGAGGAACGCCGAUGGCGAAGGCAGCCACCUGGUCCACUUCUGACGCUGAGGCGCGAAAGCGUGGGGAGCAAACCGGAUUAGAUACCCGGGUAGUCCACGCCCUAAACGAUGCGCGCUAGGUCUCUGGGUUUAUCUGGGGGCCGAAGCCAACGCGUUAAGCGCGCCGCCUGGGGAGUACGGCCGCAAGGCUG
rnacentral:rRNA from 1 species